rnacentral:rRNA from 1 species
UACGUAGGGUGCAAGCGUUGUCCGGAAUUAUUGGGCGUAAAGAGCUCGUAGGCGGUUUGUCGCGUCUGCUGUGAAAACCGGAGGCUCAACCUCCGGCCUGCAGUGGGUACGGGCAGACUAGAGUGCGGUAGGGGAGAUUGGAAUUCCUGGUGUAGCGGUGAAAUGCGCAGAUAUCAGGAAGAACACCCGUGGCGAAGGCGGCUCUCUGGGACGGUACUGACGCUGAGACGCGAAAGCGUGGGGAGCGAACAGG